rnacentral:lncRNA from 1 species
AAAACUCCAAAAUCCCCCCAAAUCCCCCCAAAAUCCCCAAAAAAACCCCCAAAACCCCCAAAAAACCCAAAAAAUCCCUCGAAAAAUCCAAAAUAUUCCCUAAAAAACUCCAAAAUCCCCCAAAUCACCCCCCUCAAAAUCCCCAAAAUUCCGCAAAAAUCCCCCCAAAAUCCCCCCCAAAAUCCCCCCAAAAUCCUAAAAAAAAAUCCCAAAAAAACUCCAAAAUCCCCCCAAAAAACCCCAAAAUUCCCCCCAAAAACCCUCCAAAAUCCCAAAAACCCCCUAAAAUCCCUCAAAAACCCCAAAAUAUUCCCUAAAAACCUCCAAAAUCCCCCCAAAAACCCCCCAAAUUUCCCCCAAAAACACCCCCAAAAUCCCCAAAUCCCUCAAAAAAUCCAAAAUAUUUUAAAAAACCCCCAAAUUUCCUCCCAAAAAUCCCCAAAUUUCCCCUCCCCCCCCCCAAAAUCUCGGCCGGGGGUGGGGGAGGGGUCGGAAUUUUUGGGGCGUCCCGGGAGAGGCCGAAAAAAACCCAAAAAAAAUUGGGAAAGACCCAAAAAUUUGGGGAAUUUUGGGCCAGAGGGGAACGGGGGGGGGGGGGGGGAGGGGCGGCCAAAGGGAACCGGGACAGGGGACGGGGGGGGGAGGGGAAAUUUGGGGAAUUUUGGGGAAUUUUGGGGGGAUUUUGGGGAUUUUUAUAUUUUUUUUAGGGAUUUGGGGUUUUUUUUAGGGAUUUUGGGGGUUUUUGGGAUUUUUUCCCGGGAUUUUUGGGGAAUUUUGGGGGGAUUUUUGGGGGAAUUUUGGGAUUUUUGGGGGGAAUUUUGGGGAAUUUUGGGGGAUUUUGGGGGGGAUUUUGGGGGAAUUUUGGGGAUUUUUUGGCAUUUUGGGGCAUUUUCAGGGUUUUUUUUGGGACUUCCUGGGUAUUUUUUUGGAUUUUGGGGGUUUUUUUGGGGGAAUUUUGGGAUUUUCGGGGGAAUUUUUGGGGGAUUUUGGGGGGGGGGAUCUGGGAAUUUUGGGGAAUUUUGGGAAUUUUGGGGGGGAUUUUGGGGUUUUUAUAUUUUUUAG